GCACGGCAUGUGGGAUCUUAGUUCCCCAACCAGGGAUCCAACUUAUGCCCCCUGCAGUGGAAGCAUGGAGUCUUAACAACUGGACUGCCAGGGAAGUCCCUAUAGUUGUCUUUAUACUAUGUACUUACUCCACUGCUAUCUUCUUCCCAUUUAUAUUUCUAUUUUACUAUGGCCUCUGUGACGAGAAAACCAUUAUAAAUAAAUACACUUAUUUUCUUAGUCCUCCUCUGUCCCUUUUACCCUUUGGCAGAAAGGAAAUCCAAUGCUCCCCCAAGGUACAAUCUCCUAGGGAGCCAGCACUCCUGAGUUCUGGUUUAUUAUUUCUCCCCAUACUCUAUGUACCACCAAGAGGCAGCCAUUCUCCUAGCACUCCAUCGUUGCUCUUAGGUUCUAUACGUUCUUCUGUGUGCAAAAUCUUAUCCUCUUAUGAGGCCCAUGCCAUGCGCCAUACUUCCAUCUUCCACUGUUUUUGUCGUCUUCUGAUUUAAUGGCUACUUUCAUAAAUCAUAGAGGCUUUUGGCCUUUGCUUCUUUGUCUUCCUUCUUCUAACCACUGUUCUCUUUUUCUCUACUCCAUGUCCUCCAUAUAUCCUGGGAUAUUUUAAAGUCCACGUGGAAGAUCCUUCUAAUGCUAUAACUUCAACAUUUUGUGACCUCCUCAAUAUAUGCUAUGGUGUCCUGUUUAAGAAAUCCAUUUCUUUCCCAAGGUCAUAGCAUUUUUUCUUCUAUUAUAAUAUUUUAUAAUUUUGCCUUUCAUAUUUAGAUCUUCAUUACACUAGAAUUAAAUUUUAUCUAUUUUGAGAGGUAGGAGUCUAAUUUCAUAUUUCUCUAUAGGUAGAUUCCUAAUUGCUGCUCCAUUUAUUGAAAAAUAGAUCUUUCCCCAAAGAUCUGAAAUUCCAGCUCUGUGAUAAAGCACAUUCCACUGACUAUGGGGCUUGGUGAAAGCUACCGUGUUCGCUACUGGGCGUUGUUAGAGAGUGAAUGCUUAACUGUGGAACACCAUGCAGUUGCCCAUGCAGCGUAGAUGUGGUCAGCAACUUGAUUGGGAUCAGCUCAUGGAUUGCUUUGUGGUUCAGAAGUUCUGGAAAUGGAUGCAGAGGAAAUGUCAGACCACAGGUACAAAUAAAAAAUAAAAGCAACAUCUAUUAAGGACAAACAAAUAAAAUAAAUUGAAAAAUGUUACCACUGCAAUUUGCAGCGCCUAUAAAAGUAAACUGUUGAAUCUGUCUCUAAGAUGGAAGCUACCAAAGGCUGAUCUUUUAUAGGAAUGAGCAGGAGACAUUUUUUAUGGAUGUCAUUGUGACUUAUACUUGCAUCCAUUUUUACCUGAGAAUAAUGUUGAGAGAAAGAAAUUAUGUAUGAGACUAGAAACAUUUAAAUUUCUGGUAGAGGUUUCUAUAAAGCAGAUUUCAUAAAGUAUAAUGGAACAGGAUUUGUUAUAAUAUUCUGUAGUAAAAAAUCAAAUUUUGCUGCCUUUACCUUGGCUAAAUACAGUUGGAUUUUCGAUCACAGAGAGACAUUAUAAAGUCUAAUUUGCAAGAGGCUUGAGAUAAUGAAUUGAGAAACGGAAAGAAAACUGUGGGGCUACUGACAUUUUUUCUUAGCUCUACCACCUUACCUCCAAUGUCUCUGCUUAAUAAGAAGUGAUUUUUAACAAAUGCAAUGCGGGACUUCCCUGGU